AUUGAACGCUGGCGGCAGGCUUAACACAUGCAAGUCGAGCGGAGAUGAGGUGCUUGCACCUUAUCUUAGCGGCGGACGGGUGAGUAAUGCUUAGGAAUCUGCCUAUUAGUGGGGGACAACAUUCCGAAAGGAAUGCUAAUACCGCAUACGUCCUACGGGAGGAAGCAGAGGAUCUUCGGACCUUGCGCUAAUAGAUGAGCCUAAGUCGGAUUAGCUAGUUGGUGGGGUAAAGGCCUACCAAGGCGACGAUCUGUAGCGGGUCUGAGAGGAUGAUCCGCCACACUGGGACUGAGACACGGCCCAGACUCCUACGGGAGGCAGCAGUGGGGAAUAUUGGACAAUGGGGGAAACCCUGAUCCAGCCAUGCCGCGUGUGUGAAGAAGGCCUUAUGGUUGUAAAGCACUUUAAGCGAGGAGGAGGCUACUGAGACUAAUACUCUUGGAUAGUGGACGUUACUCGCAGAAUAAGCACCGGCUAACUCUGUGCCAGCCACCGCAGUAACAC
rnacentral:rRNA from 1 species